UACGUAGGGUGCGAGCGUUGUCCGGAAUUAUUGGGCGUAAAGGGCUCGUAGGCGGUCUGUUGCGUCAGGAGUGAAAACUCGGGGCUUAACCCCGAGCCUGCUUCUGAUACGGGCAGACUAGAGGUAUGCAGGGGAGAACGGAAUUCCUGGUGUAGCGGUGAAAUGCGCAGAUAUCAGGAGGAACACCAAUGGCGAAGGCAGAUCUCUGGGCCGUAACUGACGCUGAGGAGCGAAAGCAUGGGGAGCGAACAGG
rnacentral:rRNA from 1 species